rnacentral:lncRNA from 1 species
CACUGUCUGUGAGAUCAACUGCAGUGGUUGCGACGACGUGUGCUUUAGGCAGGUAUUCUACAUGAUUAAUUAACGAUCUUCUCGCAAAUGAAGGUUCAACCAUUGAUCUCAAGCUUGCCCAGGUGAUUUCAAAAUACUCUUUCCUGUUGAUAUUUUGCAGCUUUCAUUAGUGAAGUUUCAAUAAAGCAAAUAGAACCAAAAGGAAUUAAAAUGGUUUUAUCAAGGUAGAGGAUGGAUUGACAGCUGAUCACUUCAUGCAGUCUCAAACUUGAGAGAUGCGAGUUUUAUGUAUCUUAGAUACCUAUAAAGGUUGAAUACUAGAUUAAUGUUGCAGUUCGUUUGCCCUACCCCUUUCCCUGUCUCCAGUACUGUCAUAGCAUCCUUAGUUUAGAAGAUCAAAAAUUCAGACCCAAAAUACUCUUUCAUUGAUCUCAAGCUUGCCCAGGUGAUUUCAAAAUACUCUUUCCUGUUGAUAUUUUGCAGCUUUCAUUAGUGAAGUUUCAAUAAAGCAAAUAGAACCAAAAGGAAUUAAAAUGGUUUUAUCAAGGUAGAGGAUGGAUUGACAGCUGAUCACUUCAUGCAGUCUCAAACUUGAGAGAUGCGAGUUUUAUGUAUCUUAGAUACCUAUAAAGGUUGAAUACUAGAUUAAUGUUGCAGUUCGUUUGCCCUACCCCUUUCCCUGUCUCCAGUACUGUCAUAGCAUCCUUAGUUUAGAAGAUCAAAAAUUCAGACACUUCGAUGCCCUUGUAGACAUGUAAAAUGAUUUGGCAUUUAAGAAGUAGAGCCAGUUCACUACACAUUCUGGAGUUAACAUUGAGUAAAGACUACUCAAUUAGAAUGGAAUUUGGUUAUAGGGCUGAAACCAACAUCUAUUCAAUAAUAUCUGAAUAUAAAAAGAAGAUAGAAACUUUAUUUGCUCAUAUAUUUUUGGCAAAUUGCUAAUAAAAGUGACAACCAACUACAAAUAGUAGGACUAUGAUCGUUGUAAUUAAGCAUUUGAUCCCUGAAUUUUCUAAGCCAU